UAGGCUGAGAGAUGCCAGAGAUGAUCUAACUUUCAAAGUCACUAAGACUCCAAAAGAGGCCAUUGUGGUGCUCUUUGAUUCGAGUUCCUCCAUGGGUGAGGAAUGUUUUGACCAAGACUUCACAAUGAAGCGAAUUAAUGCCAUCAAAGAAAUAUUUGACAGCUUUUCAAACCGAUGCAUGGCUUAUAAUUUUAACCAAGUUAUCUGCCUUGUGAAAUUUGACUCUUUCGUAAAAACGCUCCACACAUUCACAGAAACAGUGGAAACCUUUAAGGAUUAUGUUCAUAAACUUCAGCCACAAGGACAAACUUUAUUGUAUGAUGCAUUAAAUCAUGGAUGCCAAG